UCAAAGAUGGAUCUGUACUCACCACUCCUUUCCUUUCGCUCUCUCUCUCUCUCUCUCUCUCUCUCUCUCUCUCUCUCAAAGAUUAAGAUUUUAGAUCUGGAUCUGGUCUAUUCACCGUAAGCUAUUGUUCCCGAGGAUCUGGACACCUUCCCUAAGAUGGUUGAAGAUGGAUCCCUAGCCGUCGCAUCUGGUGAAGACGAUGGUGGUUAUUUUUUUAUUUAUUUUAAAGAUUUGUUGAUUUGAACAGGUUUUCACCACAGAUCUUCUUUGGGUUUUUUUUUGUACAAAUUAUCCCUAAGAUGGUUGAAGAUGGAUUCCCAAGCCCUAACAAUGUCAUAACCGGAGCUCAUUGAUCAUGCCGAUUUGGACUUUUUAUUGAACACAGAAGAGAGAGAGAGAUAUAGAAAGAGAUAUCUGGAGUUAGAGAGAGAAAAGAGGAGCUACAAGAGGAGAGAGAGAACGGUGAUGCCAGCUGUUAGGGUUCCGGCCAUGAAACCGACUUUUCAUUUUCUGGUCUGGUGAAUCAGGAGAGCAAAUUCUUGAAGUUUUUAGGGUAUAUGCGGAACACAUUAUCAUGGGUUAUGGAAGCUGCUGCUAUUAUGGCGACUGCCAUUGCAAAUUGAGGAGGAAAGCCGCCUGACUGGCAGUCUUUUGUCGGUGUUAUCACUUUGCUCAUAAUGAACUCCACAUUUAGUUUCAUUGAAGCAAAGAACGCUGGUAAUGCAACAGCUCUCAUGGCCAGUCUUGCCCCAGGUUUUGAAUCUUGCACACAACAAAUCAGACAUAGAACACCAGUUCAAGGCGUCAUUGAUUAAUCUGCAGACAGACCGCUGGUUAAGGUCACUUGCUGUAGCAUACCAGUUCUAGAGGAGCAUUAGAAGAGUCCUGGAGGACCGUGGCAGUUCAUUGGGCUAAUGCUGCUCUUUGAUCCGCCACAUCAUGACAAUGCUGCAACUACAUGUUAUGUGGUGUUCAUCCACAAGUCAAAGGGGUCAGUGAUGGGUAUCCAUUACGACACACAGGUCGUUUACAGAACCGAUUUAUUUGGGUAUUGGGGACGGCAUCAGUUACAGGAUUCCUCCAUCUUAUGAAAUGUUGGCUACUACAUUAAACUUACCUAAAAUGUCGGAGAUUCAAGUGGAUGAGUUGUAUCUUAAAGGCACACUUGAUUUGGGCUCAUUAGCUUCGAUGAUGUCCACGGACAAGAAGUUUGGCCUAAGAAAUAGAGUAGGGUUGGGUGAGCCUAAACCCCAGUAUGAGUCUCUUCAGGCAAGAUUAAAGGCCCAAUCUAUAAACAACUCUCCCCAGAAGUUCAGUCUUAAAGUCAGCGAUAUUGCAUUUGAAUCGUAUUCUGUUCCAGAGAGAGCGGCUGAUGGAAUACGGCGUUCUUUCAUGUCAGAUAGUGGAACUCUGCAAGUUCACUAUGUGAUGGUGUUGGAGAAAGGUGACACAUAUGAGAUUAUUGAGCGUAGUUUGCCCAAGAAGCGUGUUAUUGAGAAAGAAGAGAUGGGAAAAAUCGGUAUAUAUUGGGUGAACAUGGUCAGACAAGACAUACCAAAACAUCAUAGGGAAAUCAGCUUUCAUAGAUAGCAGUUAACAGAUGCCAAGAGAUUUGUAGAAAACUGUCAACGUGAUGUAAAGAUGAAGGUGAGUAGAUCGCUUAAGUUGAUGAGGGGCGCUUCAAUUCGCACAAGGAAACUGGCAAGGGACAUGCUGGUCUUUUGGAAGAGAAUCGAUAAAGAAAUGG